UACAGAGGUCCCAAGCGUUGUUCGGAAUUACUGGGCGUAAAGCGUGCGUAGGCGGCGGGGUAAGUCGGGUGUGAAAUCUCAGGGCUCAACCCUGAAAUUGCAUUCGAUACUGCUUCGCUUGAGCUCUGAAGAGGAGGUUGGAAUUUACGGUGUAGCAGUGAAAUGCGUAGAUAUCGUAAGGAAGGCCGGUGGCGAAAGCGAACCUCUGGGCAGCAGCUGACGCUGUGGCACGAAGGCUAGGGGAGCAAACGGG
rnacentral:rRNA from 2 species